rnacentral:tRNA from 1 species
GCGGACGUGGCGAAAUUGGCAGACGCGCUGGAUUUAGGUUCCAGUACCUUUGGUGUGGGAGUUCAAGUCUCCCCGUCCGCACCA